GGAGUCCCGUGGCUGUGGAGGAGUCCCGUGGCUGUGGAGGAGUCCCGUGGCUGUGGAGGAGUCCCGGCUCCCGGCUGUGGCUCGGACGUGUGCGUUAAGUCUGUCGUCAUGUUUUUACAAGAGCCGAGCCGGUAGGUUGUUGCUUAGUUACCGAGCCGUAUGUUCAAGCUCCCUGUCGCCCGAAGACACUUGAAGAGUUGAUGGAAAAAAAUAGGAAACGGUCACGUACGUGUUUCACACACACACACACACACACACACACACACACACACACACACACACACACACACACACACACACACACACACACACACACACACACACACACACACACACACACACACAGAGGAA